AAAAAAAUAAACCCUGAGUCUACGUAUUCAAUAUUUGACUGUCCGUCCUAUAUAAAUUUUUUUUAUAAUUAGUAUUUUUAUUGUUGUUAGAUGAUAAAAUAUGAUUAAUACUUUAUGCUAACUUUUCUUUUUAAUUUUUUCAAAUAAAACGGACAGUUAAACGUUGGACACGAAAAUCUAGAGUUUGUCUUAUU
rfam:Oryza glumipatula chromosome 1, whole genome shotgun sequence.